GCACAAGCGGUGGAGCAUGUGGUUUAAUUCGACGCAACGCGAGGAACCUUACCAGUUCUUGACAUCCUACAAACUUAGCAGAGAUGCUUUGGUGCCUUUCGGGGAAUGUAGUGACAGGUGGUGCAUGGGCUGUCGUCAGCUCGUGUCGUGAGAUGUUGGGUUAAGUCCCGCAACGAGCGCAACCCCUAUCGUUAGUUACCAUCAUUAAGUUGGGGACUCUAGCGAGACUGCCUGCGAUGAGCAGGAGGAAGGUGGGGAUGACGUCAAGUCAUCAUGCCCCUUAUGAACUGGGCUACACACGUGCUACAAUGGGGAGUACAAAGAGUCGCAAGCCGGUGACGGUAAGCUAAUCUCAAAAAGCUCCUCUCAGUUCGGAUUGUAGUCUGCAACUCGACUACAUGAAGUUGGAAUCGCUAGUAAUCGCAAAUCAGCAACGUUGCGGUGAAUACGUUCUCGGGUCUU
rnacentral:rRNA from 1 species